rnacentral:tRNA from 1 species
GGGGCCAUAGCUCAGUUGGCAGAGCACCGGCUUUGCAAGCCGGGUGUCCGGGGUUCGAAUCCCCGUGGCUCCACCA